CGAGGUGUGGCUCAGCUUGGUAGAGCGCUACGUUCGGGUCGUAGAAGUCGCAGGUUCAAAUCCUGUCACCUCGACCA
rnacentral:tRNA from 1 species